rnacentral:rRNA from 1 species
GAUGAACGCUAGCGGCAGGCUUAACACAUGCAUGUCGAACGGUAACAGGCCCUUCGGGCGCUGACGAGUGGCGGACGGGUGAGUAAUACUUAGGAAUCUACCCUGUAGUGGGGGACAACCCGAGGAAACUCGGGCUAAUACCGCAUACGCUCUACGGAGGAAAGCGGGGGACCGCAAGGCCUCGCGCUAUUGGAUGAGCCUAAGCCCGAUUAGCUAGUUGGUGGGGUAAUGGCCUACCAAGGCAAUGAUCGGUAGCUGGUCUGAGAGGACGACCAGCCACACUGGGACUGAGACACGGCCCAGACUCCUACGGGAGGCAGCAGUGGGGAAUAUUGGACAAUGGGCGAAAGCCUGAUCCAGCGAUGCCGCGUGUGU